CAGGGAUUACGGCACGGAAGUCCUUGGUACAAGCUUACCACAUAGUUUCGUUCCAUAAGGGAACAAAAGGUUGAAAAGGCGAGGCAAGAUUGCCAACAACUUAGCCGUUUGAGCAGGUAUCGAUGGAGGACAGAGGGUUAAUCCGCGACGUUAAUCUGCACUGGAAAUACACCCUAAUCAGUGUUUUAGAGGCAGCUCACAACGGCAAUUUGUAUAUAGGCGAAGUUGGUGAUUUGCCAAUGGUAUUUCAAGAUAAGUUGCUGAAGUCCUUAAGGUGACGGUGAGCUGGCAGCAUGCCUGCUACAUGCAAGUAUACGUGGAUGGAUGAAUGUGUGUGUAGUUGUUACAGUGGGCUCCAGAUGAAUGCUGCUACGGUAGUGGAAAUCUAAGCAACAUCUGUGCAUAAGCCUGUAGGGCAGAAGCCAAGCCGUGCAAAACCCGCAACCGACCAGAGGCGCACCUCCUCGUAGAAGUGCUAAGGGCUAUCCUUUUGCCCAAGGAGGGUCUGCUGCCAAGAGAGGGUAAAGGUCGCUCGAGGGAGUGAGCUGAUGCAGGGUAGCCCUAUUAUCGGCUGCCAAUCUUCAAGGACAACAGAAGUUAGCUGGUCGAAGGGAACUCGAAGUCUGCACUGCAUACAAAGGAGAGGCUCAUGAACGGGCCGC
rnacentral:lncRNA from 1 species